rnacentral:lncRNA from 1 species
CGGGGCCGUGCGGGCGCGGACGCAACUUUCGGCGUGUGCCGAGCGGCGGGGCGGGCGCGGUACGAGCGGAGCGGAUCGGCAAUAGAUGUAUUGCGCGUCCGACUCCCUCCCUUCCCGCCCCUCCCUCCGCCGAAGGUGGGACGGCCGUACGGCGCGGUACGCCCGGCGCUCCAACCGCGGAGCCGCCCCGUCGGGUACCGCCGGGCCGGGUCGAGCCGGGCGGGGCGGGAGGGUGCGCAGCCCUCGCGGGGAACCGGGGCGGAUCGGGCCGUACGGACAGCGCCGACUGCCCGCCGAUUGGCGUCUGCGAUCCUCUCCGAUCGCGGGGAUCUGUUUCCCACCGGGAACAGCCCGGGAUUACCCCCGCUGGUUGCUCUCCCGGAUCCCGGCCGGGGGAAACUCCUUACUCCGGUGCUCGGCCCGAGCCCUCCGGCCCCGCUGCCGGCCCGGGGCGGUGUUUGACAAGGGUGGGCCGGGCCAGGGGCUCCGGCCACCUCCCCGCAGCCGAACGGCAAGCGCCUUCCUGGGAGGGGCCCGCGCCGGGUUCGGGCUUCGAACCCCGAUCCACGGGAUCGGCCGGCGACACCGGGCGUUGCUGCGGGCGGGGCGGGCGCGGCCCGCACUACACUUCCCGGAGGGCCCUGCUGCCACCGGGCCCGCCCCCGCCCCUCCCGGCAUCCGAUUGGUCAUCUCCCCACGGCCGUCCGUCCCUCUCCUCCUCUCAUUGGCUGGCGGAGCCGUCGCUCCGCGGGGGGUAGAACAGGGUGGGGGAGUGGCGGGGCGCUGGCGGCACGCGGGAGCUCGGCGCUGACAGGGCGGCGCGCGGAGGCGCUGCGGGACGGGCCGGGACAGGACGGGCACCUCCUGCCCGCGGCAGGUGAGCUCCGUAAGACUGGUUUAAGCAGUGCAGAAGUUCAUGGAUGGAAGAAGAGUCCUUGUUUCAGAACACCUACACCUGAAGAUUUUAUAAACGCCGUUAGAAGAGCUGGCGUGCAGGAGGAAUGGAUCUCAUCUGUCUGCUGUGAUUCUUGACCCACCUAAUCGGCUAAUGGCCACGAGCAAUAACAGCGUGGCUCAGGGGAGCGGAGCUGGGGAGAGAUGCAGCCGCUUGGGGCAGAGAAGCACUGCGUUGUACCGAAGGUGUUGCACAUGAUCCUGCCGUUGAUGACCGAACCUCCCUGAAAUCUUCUUAUCAGUUGCUGCCAAGAUGAGAAGGAUAGCAGGAAAGAGGAGUGCAUAAGUGAUUCUCAUGACAGUUAAUUUCAUCAUUUUAUCAAAUGACAGGUUAUUGUUCCCGCUAUGCAAGGAAGUUGAACUGUUUUCCUGAGCAUACCCAGAAUUAAUUCAGCACAAGUUGAUCAGGUUAUGUGACCAGAACAUGCUGGUUACUGCUGGCCUGGGCCAUUCUGAUGGAAGAGCAGGAAGCAUGCAGACCAGCUGCAUCAAUGGCUUGCCUGGGAAGGGGUGUCACCAACAGGGGAGUUGUGGAGCUGGUGGUGGUGAUUUGGUGUUUUCAGCAGGUGCAGCUGCAUCUCUAAGUUCUACACAUGUGGAAAAAUACUUUGUUAAAGCAGCUCCUGGGUGAACGGGGUAAUUAAAGAACUGCGCCGCUUUUAUUGGAGUUGACACAUGCUGCACGUUCCUUAAAACUCACUCAUGGUGUGGAGCACCCUGCCAAGCACACUCUGCUCCUCUGGGCUGCAGUGAGAAGUGGAUGACCGGUGCUGCACACAGCUAAGCACACAGCCUUAUCAGCAAGCGUGCUUUUAGGUUAAAGCACAGCCAUCUCCAUACUGACAGAGAGGAAGUCACAGAGUUACAGCGUUGACCAGCACAGUGGCUGGAGGGAACAAAGUUCAUCAUCCUGAGACACCAGACCUUUGACGAAGCGCAGGUUACCUGUGACAGUGCGUGCGGCGCUAACAAAGAGUCCCUGUCAGCCUUUGUAGAAGACUUUGAGGCUUCAGUCAGCGUUGACUUUCCAGAAGAUGAGGAGCGUGUUGGUGAAGUGCUAGACUGUGGUUCCUCGGAUCCCUCAGUUCGUGGGGGAACAGAAGAAGCUCAGUGUGGAGAUGAAAAGAUGACAGAAGCAGCAGAAUCCCAGAAGUUGCGAUCACACAGGCAGAUGAGGACUAUGAAGGUAUCAUUUGGUGCCAAGCCUGGGUAGUCUUUAAGCUUCGUGAAGCAUCAGAACCGCGGCUGCUUGGUUUCCAUUUCCA